rnacentral:rRNA from 1 species
UCUACGGGUGGCAGCAGUGGGGAAUAUUGGACAAUGGGCGAAAGCCUGAUCCAGCCAUGCCGCGUGUGUGAAGAAGGCCUUCGGGUUGUAAAGCACUUUCAGUGGGGAAGAAAGCCUUGGGGCUAAUACCCUCGAGGAAGGACAUCACCCACAGAAGAAGCACCGGCUAACUCCGUGCCAGCAGCCGCGGUAAUACGGAGGGUGCGAGCGUUAAUCGGAAUUACUGGGCGUAAAGCGCGCGUAGGCGGUCUGAUAAGCCGGUUGUGAAAGCCCCGGGCUCAACCUGGGAACGGCAUCCGGAACUGUCAGGCUAGAGUGCAGGAGAGGAAGGUAGAAUUCCCGGUGUAGCGGUGAAAUGCGUAGAGAUCGGGAGGAAUACCAGUGGCGAAGGCGGCCUUCUGGACUAACACUGACGCUGAGGUGCGAAAGCGUGGGUAGCAAACAGGAUUAGAUACCCGGGUAGUC